rnacentral:rRNA from 1 species
GACGAACGCUGGCGGCGUGCUUAACACAUGCAAGUCGAACGGUGAAGCGCCUUCCUUUUUGGUGGGUGUGGAUGAGUGGCGAACGGGUGAGUAACACGUGAGUAACCUGCCCCCUUCUUCUGGAUAACCGCAUGAAAGUGUGGCUAAUACGGGAUAUUCUGGGUCUGUCGCAUGAUGGGUCUGGGAAAGAUCUUGUUUCGGUGGGGGAUGGGCUCGCGGCCUAUCAGCUUGUUGGUGGGGUGAUGGCCUACCAAGGCGGUGACGGGUAGCCGGCCUGGGGGGGUGGACGGUCAGACUGGGAAGGAGACACGGCAAAGACUCAUACGGGAGGCAGCAGGGGGGAAUAUGGGACGAUGGGCGGAAGAAUGAUGCAGCGACGCCGAGUGAGGGAUGGAGGCCUUCGGGUUGUGAACCUCUUUCGCCAGUGAAGCAGGGCUGCCUCGUUUGUGGGUGGGUUGACGGUAGCUGGAGAAGAAGCGCCGGCUAACUACGUG